UACAGAGGUCCCAAGCGUUGUUCGGAUUCACUGGGCGUAAAGGGUGCGUAGGUGGCCAGGUAAGUUUGAUGUGAAAGCUCGGAGCUUAACUCCGAAAUGGCAUUGAAUACUAUCUGGCUUGAGGGUCGGAGGGAGACUGGAAUUCUCGGUGUAGCAGUGAAAUGCGUAGAUAUCGAGAGGAACACCAGUGGCGAAGGCGAGUCUCUGGACGACACCUGACACUGAGGCACGGAAAGCUAAGGGGAGGCAAACAGG
rnacentral:rRNA from 1 species